UCCCUAGUGGCUCAGAUGGUAAAGAAUCUGCCUUCAAUGCAGGAGACCCAGGUUUGAUCCCUGGGUUAGGAA
rnacentral:tRNA from 1 species